rnacentral:rRNA from 1 species
AUUGAACGCUGGCGGCAGGCUUAACACAUGCAAGUCGAACGAGGUUAGGGAGCUUGCUCCUGAUACCUAGUGGCGAACGGGUGAGUAAUGCUUAGGAAUCUGCCUGAUAGUGGGGGAUAACUUGGGGAAACUCAAGCUAAUACCGCAUACGUCCUACGGGAGAAAGGGGGCUUUUAGCUCUCGCUAUCAGAUGAGCCUAAGUCGGAUUAGCUAGUUGGUGGGGUAAAGGCCUACCAAGGCGACGAUCUGUAACUGGUCUGAGAGGAUGAUCAGUCACACCGGAACUGAGACACGGUCCGGACUCCUACGGGAGGCAGCAGUGGGGAAUAUUGGACAAUGGGCGAAAGCCUGAUCCAGCCAUGCCGCGUGUGUGAAGCAGGCCUUUUGGUUGUAAAGCACUUUAAGUAGGGAGGAAAAGCUGAUGGUUAAUACCCAUUAGCCCUGACGUUACCUACAGAAUAAGCACCGGCUAACUCUGUGCCAGCAGCCGCGGUAAUACAGAGGGUGCAAGCGUUAAUCGGAAUUACUGGGCGUAAAGCGAGCGUAGGUGGUUCAUUAAGUCAGAUGUGAAGUCCCCGGGCUUAACCUGGGAACUGCAUCUGAUACUGGUGAACUAGAGUAGGUGAGAGGGAAGUAGAAUUCCAGGUGUAGCGGUGAAAUGCGUAGAGAUCUGGAGGAAUACCGAUGGCGAAGGCAGCUUCCUGGCAUCAUACUGACACUGAGGUUCGAAAGCGUGGGUAGCAAACAGGAUUAGAUACCCUGGUAGUCCACGCCGUAAACGAUGUCUACUAGUCGUUGGAUCUCUUGAAGAUUUAGUGACGCAGUUAACGCGAUAAGUAGACCGCCUGGGGAGUACGGCCGCAAGGUUAAAACUCAAAUGAAUUGACGGGGGCCCGCACAAGCGGUGGAGCAUGUGGUUUAAUUCGAUGCAACGCGAAGAACCUUACCUGGUCUUGACAUAUCUAGAAUCUUGCAGAGAUGCGAGAGUGCCUUCGGGAAUUAGAAUACAGGUGCUGCAUGGCUGUCGUCAGCUCGUGUCGUGAGAUGUUGGGUUAAGYCCCGCAACGAGCGCAACCCUUUUCCUUAGUUACCAGCGAUUCGGUCGGGAACUCUAAGGAUACUGCCAGUGACAAACUGGAGGAAGGCGGGGACGACGUCAAGUCAUCAUGGCCCUUACGACCAGGGCUACACACGUGCUACAAUGGUAGGUACAAAGGGUUGCUACACAGCGAUGUGAUGCCAAUCUCAAAAAGCCUAUCGUAGUCCGGAUUGGAGUCUGCAACUCGACUCCAUGAAGUCGGAAUCGCUAGUAAUUGCAGAUCAGAAUGCUGCGGUGAAUACGUUCCCGGGCCU